GAUCCUGGCUCAGGACGAACGCUGGCGGCGCGCCUAACACAUGCAAGUCGAACGAGAGAUGAAGAGCUUGCUCUUCAGAUCGAGUGGCGAACGGGUGAGUAAUGCGUGAGCAACCUGCCCUUCAGAGGGGGACAACAGUUGGAAACGACUGCUAAUACCGCAUAAUGUAUUCGGAAGGCAUCUUCUGAAUACCAAAGGAGAAAUCCGCUGAGGGAUGGGCUCACGUCUGAUUAGUUAGUUGGUGAGAUAACGGCUCACCAAGACUGCGAUCAGUAGCCGGACUGAGAGGUUGAACGGCCACAUUGGGACUGAGAUACGGCCCAGACUCCUACGGGAGGCAGCAGUGGGGAAUAUUGGGCAAUGGGCGAAAGCCUGACCCAGCAACGCCGCGUGAAGGAAGAAGGCCUUCGGGUUGUAAACUUCUUUUAAGAGGGACGAAGAAGUGACGGUACCUCUUGAAUAAGCCACGGCUAACUACGUG
rnacentral:rRNA from 1 species